AACGAACGCUGGCGGCAGGCUUAACACAUGCAAGUCGAGCGCCCCGCAAGGGGAGCGGCAGACGGGUGAGUAACGCGUGGGAAUCUACCCAUCACUACGGAACAACUCCGGGAAACUGGAGCUAAUACCGUAUACGUCCUUCGAGAGAAAGAUUAUCGGUGAUGGAUGAGCCCGCGUUGGAUUAGCUAGUUGGUGGGGUAAUGGCCCACCAAGGCGACGAUCCAUAGCUGGUCUGAGAGGAUGAUCAGCCACACCGGGACUGAGACACGGCCCAGACUCCUACGGGAGGCAGCAGUGGGGAAUAUUGGACAAUGGGCGCAAGCCUGAUCCAGCCAUGCCGCGUGAGUGAUGAAGGCCCUAGGGUUGUAAAGCUCUUUCACCGGUGAAGAUAGUGACGGUAACCGGAGAAGAAGCCCCGGCUAACUUCGUGCCAGCCGCCGCCGUAA
rnacentral:rRNA from 1 species